rnacentral:lncRNA from 10 species
UUAUUAAAUGUAGACAUAGAAAAUAGAUUAUAUUUAGCAGAACAACAAUGAAAAUCAUGGCUGACUUUCAUCAGAAAACAAUGGGUGACAGCUGGGUAUAAUGGUGUGCACCUGUAGUUCCAGCUACCUGGGAGGCUGAGGCAGGAGAAUUGCUUGAGCUGAAGAAUUCACGUCCAGUCUGAGCAACAUAGCAAGAUCCUGUCUCAAAAAAAAAAAAAAAAAAGAGAGAAACAAUAGAAGACAAAAGACAAUGGAAUUGACAUCUUCAAAGUGCUGAAAGAAAGAAAAACAGAAUUCUAUAAAUGAAGUGCAUAUAGAGAUGUUUAAAAAAACAAAAGGUGAGAAAAUAUGUCACCAGCUUUUGAAGCUAAAAGAAAAUAACUCAAGAUGAAAGCAAAGAUCUGCAGGAAGGAAUGAACAAUGUCAAAAAAGGUCAAAUAUGUGCAUAAACAUAAAAGAAUACUUUAAAUUUUCAAAAUUAUUGACUAUUAGAAACCACAGGCCAGGCACAGUGGCUCACACCUGUAAUCUUAUCAUUUUAGGAGGUCGACGCAGGUGGAUUGCUUGAGCUCAGUAGUUCAAGAUCAGCCUGAGAAACAUGGUGAAACCCCAUCUGUAUGAAAAAUACAAAAAUUAACUGGGUGUGGUGGUGCACACCUGUAGUCCGAGCUACUCAGGAUGCUGAGGUGAGAGGAUGGCUUGAGCCUGGGAGAUGGAGGUUGCAGUGAGCUGAGAUUGUGCCAGUGCACUCCAGCUUGGGCAACAGAGCAAGAACCUGUCUCAAAACAAAAAAACAAAAACAAAAACAAACAAAAAAGCCAAAGCAAAACACAAUAAAGUUUAGUGGUUUAUAAUAUAGACAGAAAUAAAAUAUGUGACAUCAAUAGCACAACGAACUAGAGAGAGAUUAGUGGAAUUUUUUGUGCAAAGUUUUUACAUUGUUUGCAAAGAAGCGAAAUACUAAUUGAUUCUUGUGAUAAAUUGGGGUGUUAAGUUGAGGAUGCAUACAGUAAUCACUACAGCAGUUGUUUUCAACCUUUGGUAAUUCCCCUACCCAGGCCCCAGCCAAGGAACCCUGUCACAACUGGAGUGGGAGGACAGUUGCUACUGCCAUCUGCUGGGAAGAGGCUUUGUUUUUAUGAAAAUUUUGUAGAUGAGGAAACAGACUCCUAGAAGUUAACUGAAAGGAGUCAUGUGACCCAGUCCUGGCCAAUGAGAUGAGCAGAAGUCACUGAUGGCGCUUCCUGAGCCUCCUUUAAAGCAGCUAGACACUGGAGCUUUUAUCUUUUGCCCUUUGCUCUCACUUGCCUUCUUGACUGGAAUGCAGAUGUGAUGCUCAGAGAUGCAGCUGUCGUUUUGUAACCCUGACCUUGAAAGCCUCACACUAAGGAUGAGAACAGAAAUAGAGAAGGAGCCUAUGUUCUUGAAGACAUCCUUAAACAACUACACUAGCCCCACCUCCUGACUUCUUAGGUGAAAAUAAUAAACACCCUGAUAUGGUUUGGAUCUAUGUCCCCACCCAAAUCUCAUGUUCAAUUGUAAUUCCCAGUGUUGGAGGUGGGGUCUGGUGGGAGGCAAGUUGAUCAUGGGAGCCUUUUCUCAUGAAUCAUUUGACCCCAUCCCCCUUGGUCCUGUUGUUUCAAUAGUGAGUGAAUUCUUGCAUGAUCUGGUUGUGUAAAAGUGUGUGACACCUCCUCCUUCACUCUCUUGCUUCUGCUCCCACCAUGUGAGAUGCCUGCUCCCGCUUUGCCCUCUGCCAUGAUUGGAAGCUUCUCAAGGCCUCCCCAGAAGCAGAAGCUGCUAUGCUUCCUAUACAGGCCGCAGAACUGAGCCAAUGAAACCUCUUUUCUUUGUAAAUUACCCAGUCUCAGGGAUGUCUUUAUAGCAAUGUGAGAAUAGCCUAAUACACCCCCCGUUUGGUUAAGCAGUUUGGAAAGUCUGGAAAAGUUUCUGAAAUAAACAGUUGAACACAAUCCCACGGGAAGCACUACCUAGCCUCUGUGAAGUCUAUUGUAUGAAUUCAAUUCAGUGCAGGUAUUAGGAGAGAGCCUACUGUUACAAGCAGAGGCAGGAAAGGAAAUAAUGACAAGUUCAUGUCCCCCAUCUUGUGGGCAAAACACUAAGAUACAUAACCUGCUCUAGGGCCGGGCACAGUGGCUCACGCCUGUAAUCCCAGCACUUUGGGAGGCCGAGGUGGGUGGAUCAUGAGGUCAGGAGACCGAGACCAUCCUGGCUAACAUGGCGAAACCCUGUCUCUACUAAAAAUACAAAAAAUUAGUUGGAUGUGGUGGCGGGUGCCUGUAGUCGCAACUA